AUACUCUGGUUUCUCUGCAGAUCGGAUAAAUAGUUUGCCUUUUACUAAAGAUUUCUGUGGAGAGGAACAACCGUGAGUUUCAUGUCAUUUUUUGUUGCCUGGCUAACACUGGGCU